rnacentral:rRNA from 1 species
UACGGGGGGGGCAAGCGUUGUUCGGAAUUACUGGGCGUAAAGGGCUCGUAGGCGGCCAACUAAGUCAGACGUGAAAUCCCUCGGCUUAACCGGGGAACUGCGUCUGAUACUGGAUGGCUUGAGUUUGGGAGAGGGAUGCGGAAUUCCAGGUGUAGCGGUGAAAUGCGUAGAUAUCUGGAGGAACACCGGUGGCGAAGGCGGCAUCCUGGACCAACAUUGACGCUGAGUGAGCGAAAGCCAGGGGAGCAAACGGG